rnacentral:rRNA from 2 species
AUCCGGGUUGCGGACAGUGUCUGGUGGGUAGUUUGACUGGGGCGGUCUCCUCCUAAAGAGUAACGGAGGAGCACGAAGGUUGGCUAAUCCUGGUCGGACAUCAGGAGGUUAGUGCAAUGGCAUAAGCCAGCUUGACUGCGAGCGUGACGGCGCGAGCAGGUGCGAAAGCAGGUCAUAGUGAUCCGGUGGUUCUGAAUGGAAGGGCCAUCGCUCAACGGAUAAAAGGUACUCCGGGGAUAACAGGCUGAUACCGCCCAAGAGUUCAUAUCGACGGCGGUGUUUGGCACCUCGAUGUCGGCUCAUCACAUCCUGGGGCUGAAGUAGGUCCCAAGGGUAUGGCUGUUCGCCAUUUAAAGUGGUACGCGAGCUGGGUUUAGAACGUCGUGAGACAGUUCGGUCCCUAUCUGCCGUGGGCGCUGGAGAACUGAGGGGGGCUGCUCCUAGUACGAGAGGACCGGAGUGGACGCAUCACUGGUGUUCGGGUUGUCAUGCCAAUGGCACUGCCCGGUAGCUAAAUGCGGAAGAGAUAAGUGCUGAAAGCAUCUAAGCACGAAACUUGCCCCGAGAUGAGUUCUCCCUGAGACUUA